UGGGGAAUUUUGGACAAUGGGGGCAACCCUGAUCCAGCAAUGCCGCGUGUGUGAAGAAGGCCUUCGGGUUGUAAAGCACUUUUGUCCGGAAAGAAAACUUCGGGGCUAAUACCCCUGGAGGAUGACGGUACCGGAAGAAUAAGCACCGGCUAACUACGUGCCAGCAGCCGCUGUAAUACGUAGGGUGCGAGCGUUAAUCGGAAUUACUGGGCGUAAAGCGUGCGCAGGCGGUGCUGUAAGACCGAUGUGAAAUCCCCGGGCUUAACCUGGGAACUGCAUUGGUGACUGCAGCGCUGGAGUAUGGCAGAGGGGGGUGGAAGUCCACGUGUAGCAGUGAAAUGCGUAGAGAUGUGGAGGAACACCGAUGGCGAAGGCAGCCCCCUGGGCCAAUACUGACGCUCAUGCACGAAAGCGUGGGGAGCAAACAGG
rnacentral:rRNA from 1 species